GUGGCCAACCCUGGGAGCACAGAGGCAAGACGUUCACCUGUGCCACCAGAAGGAGUGGACCCUGGGUCUCUUAACUAAUCCCCCCUAAUUUCAUUUAGGGGCUGGCAACAAAUAGGGAAGAAUCUCUGCUUGGAAGUGAUCUCUCUUUGGAGUUUCUGCCAGUGAAAAAGCAAACAGUAAUAAACGCUCAUUGUGAAUGUUGGAAGAUUGGUAGUUCAGUUUCUGUUCUAAAUCAAGCAUGAGCUCUACCAGCUGUAGCAGGUAUUUACAUGCCAGAUGAAUCUCCCAAACGUUUUUGUGCUGACCUUUGGCUAUCAUUUCUGGGAACGGGGAAGCUAUGUACAGCAGGUAGGAGAAACAAAAGAUGCAAAGAUCAGCCAGAACAGCUGAGUAAGCAGAACCAAACUAACAAAAUUGCCUUCUUCCAAGGUAAAAAGGUAUUUUAACAUAAACUGGCUUCUUCCUUCAGUGUGGUGUCACCAUGUAAAAAAUAUAUAUGUAUAUAUAUAUGGUCUAUUCAAAGCCUAUUGGAAGUUUUUGGAAACAUCCUAAAUCUACCCGGAGAUGAGGAUGGAGUUCCAUAAAAUAUGCAAAAAUGAACACUGCACCAUUAAGGGUGCAGACCCCCAAAAGGACUGCUCUUCGCCAGGUCGUGUCUACUUCCUAUUGGGGGACAAAAGAUUGCAGGCACAUAGCAGGAAUGCUUCAGACUGACUUAAGUUUCUGUCCUGAGUCUGCCGUGCAUGAUGUUUUGCUGGACUACGUUGUUCGUAAUAGAAAAAGUAUUGAUUUUAGGUUGCCCAUCUUCAGACUGACACGUGGACUUUAUGGAUAUGAUUAUGCAAUUGUGUAACAGAUUGUGGUGUUUUUGCCUGGGUCGUGGAUGGGCAGCUAAACUACUGGAUUCUUCUGUACAAGUUGAACUUAGCAGUGAAUGGAGCAGGAAGGCUCGUUCCUAUGAAGUCUCAAGUAGCUUUCACGUGCCUUUAAAAUAUCCAAUGAUAAAUGUCUUAGUAGCUUGAAAACUUGUAGAGAGAAAAUAAAAUAUAUAAGCAGCCUUAAUUGAAAAUG
rnacentral:lncRNA from 1 species